CGCCAGACUCCUACGGGAGGCAGCAGUGGGGAAUAUUGCACAAUGGGGGAAACCCUGAUGCAGCGACGCCGCGUGAGUGAAGAAGUAUUUCGGUAUGUAAAGCUCUAUCAGCAGGAAAGAAAAUGACGGUACCUGACUAAGAAGCCCCGGCUAACUACGUGCCAGCAGCCGCGGUAAUACGUAGGGGGCAAGCGUCAUCCGGAAUUACUGGGUGUAAGGGGAGCGUAGACGGUGAAGUAAGUCUGGAGUGAAAGGCGGGGGCCCAACCCCCGGACUGCUCUGGAAACUAUUUGACUGGAGUGCAGGAGAGGUAAGCGGAAUUCCUAGUGUAGCGGUGAAAUGCGUAGAUAUUAGGAGGAACACCAGUGGCGAAGGCGGCUUACUGGACUGUAACUGACGUUGAGGCUCGAAAGCGUGGGGAGUAAACAGGAUUAGAUACCCCGGUA
rnacentral:rRNA from 1 species